UAAUAAAUUAAUUCCGAUCGAGAUUCUUUUUUUUUUUUUUUUUCUAAAGAGUGACCAAUAGUAAAAUAUUAAACUAGAUCACGUUUAUUUUUAAAAUAUCUAUUCGAUGUAAUCUUGAUUUUCUCGAGGUUAAGACACAUAACCGGAUUUCAUUAGACGAAUUUUUAUAUUUAAAAAGAAAAAAGUCACUUUUUGUUCGAAAUUGUUUGCUUUUUCAUAACGUGUAAAUGUUAUUUGUUUCAAUAAUUUACGCUUUCAACAUUUUAGCAUUGAGAGAAUCGAUCGCUCAAAAAUAUUAAUCAAAUAAAGGAAAAAUACUAUAAAUCGUCGACGUAUCGAAAAAAGAAAAGACUCGAUAUUAAUCGAUACAAACCGUCUCGAGUAGAUCAAUGACAUGGCAUCGAUUUUCUCGAUUGUCAAUGAAGAUCGCGGUCGAUGACACGGAACAAAACAAGAUGAUCGCAUCGAGAAUCGAUAUUAACGAUACUGCAUAGAGAAGCGAUUCCGUGAUCUUCGUUUUCGCAUAGAAGAAAAAUGAGAGAAACAGAAAGAACUCGAUAAAUUCAAAUCGUUGGAGAUACAAGUAUCCUCGAUUUUAUCGCUGAUCCCAACUCUUCUUUCCAGUUUUAGCGUGUCAUAAGAAGCUUUCUUACCUCAUCUCCGGUGUUGGCGAAUGCUGGUCCCACGGGUCUCUUGCUGGGGCCCAUGGGAUAUGCGGAACAGCGGGGUGCGGAGAUAUGCGAACGCGGAGGUCACCAUUGACGCAAAUCCAUUUGACGGUCACGUGACCGGCCGCACCAACCUGAACACAAUGCGCGCGGACGCCACGACAGCACCACCUUUCAUCAAAUCCUCUCCUCCGCUCCUGUUUGCAACCGUAAAUACACGGUGAGAACAAUUAUAUAGAACUCGAUCCAUCCACGAAAAUAAUAUGCAAUUAAAGAGUUAAGGAUGAAUCGUUUAUCGAAUGCCAAUCAAAAUACAUACCUGCGUGAUA